rnacentral:rRNA from 1 species
CAGUAGCCGCGGUAAUACGAAGGGGGCUAGCGUUGUUCGGAAUUACUGGGCGUAAAGCGCACGUAGGCGGUUUUGUAAGUCAGAGGUGAAAGCCCGGAGCUCAACUCCGGAACUGCCUUUGAGACUGCAUCACUUGAACGUCGGAGAGGUGAGUGGAAUUCCGAGUGUAGAGGUGAAAUUCGUAGAUAUUCGGAAGAACACCAGUGGCGAAGGCGGCUCACUGGACGACUGUUGACGCUGAGGUGCGAAAGCGUGGGGAGCAAACAGGAUUAGAUACCCCCGUAGUCCCUGUCUCUUAUAC